ACACUCCUGCGGGAGGCAGCAGUGGGGAAUAUUGCACAAUGGGCGGAAGCCUGAUGCAGCAACGCCGCGUGCGGGAUGACGGCCUUCGGGUUGUAAACCGCUUUCGCCUGUGACGAAGCGUGAGUGACGGUAAUGGGUAAAGAAGCACCGGCUAACUACGUGCCAGCAGCCGCGGUGAUACGUAGGGUGCGAGCGUUGUCCGGAUUUAUUGGGCGUAAAGGGCUCGUAGGUGGUUGAUCGCGUCGGAAGUGUAAUCUUGGGGCUUAACCCUGAGCGUGCUUUCGAUACGGGUUGACUUGAGGAAGGUAGGGGAGAAUGGAAUUCCUGGUGGAGCGGUGGAAUGCGCAGAUAUCAGGAGGAACACCAGUGGCGAAGGCGGUUCUCUGGGCCUUUCCUGACGCUGAGGAGCGAAAGCGUGGGGAGCGAACAGGCUUAGAUACCCGAGUAGUCCC
rnacentral:rRNA from 1 species